GCAAAGUCCAGCCUGGCACUUGUGCCACUCUGCUCCCAUCAGCAGCCCAAUCACCUGACCUAUUUGCCCAGCACUGACCUAUUUGCCUGGCAGACUGCUAAGAGUUACAGCAACUAACUAUUUCUGAUUUCUCUUCCAGGCAGCAGAAUGAUUUUGUGGUGCAUCACUUCCUCACCAACUGCAAGAGAAACAACUCCUAGAAAUAACUAGUGUCAGCUGUGAAUUCUGGAGGAGAAGCCAAGAAUAUAAAACCCGCGCAUGUGUGGACAGAUCUGACCCUCAGUGGGAACAUGGUGACACGGUCUCUUUUCCCCGCCCGGGACAGCCUGCUGUCGGCAGCACCUUUUAGAGACAGGAGCCAAGGAACUUUUAGACCAGGAGCCAAGGGACCGAUUUUCCCUGCAGCUGCUCCUCAGAGUCAGACAGCCCUUGCUGAGGAUGAGGCUGCACUUUCGCUAUCCCUGCUUGGAGAGGAUGGGCCUGGAUCCUGCUGAUGAGACUCAGUGUUCCCACAGCACCGCUGUUAAGGUGGUUGCCCAUGUUUGUAUUGCUGGAGUGUUCUGUGCUCACCCACAACAUUCAAAUGUUGCUGAGUGACAUAGGGCUAAACUUAAAGCAAACAGAUCGUACCUUUUAGCUCUGAGGAAAUUAAGUAGGGGCACCACAACACGUUUUCUUGCUAUAUCAUUCUGGCUAUGUCCAUGGCAUACAUUGCUUCCAUCGACAAAUCCCAGUAACUUUUAGUUUUCAGCAUGCUCCACUGCUCUUAGGUUUUUCCACUCUCUGUCUUGCAACAAUGCUAGCCUUAAGGCUUCUUGGGGGUCUGGGUUGCAAUUUAUGAAAGUGAAACUUUUUAAAGGUCACAAGAGUGCCUGCUCCUUCUGUCAACAACUUGCCUUGCAAGAGGGCUGGAAAAAAGUGUUUGGCUCAAUUCCUGGGUACAAUCCAGAGCACCACACAAUAAUCCAGUAACAGCAUUUUGAAGCCCCUCUUUAAUACUGUCACCAUGCUUGGAAAGAUCUAUGGGCUGCAGAAAAAAAAACCUUCUUAUAAAGCUGGAAAACAAAACAGCAUGUCCAAGUCUAAACUGUCCUUGCCUGAACUGGACAGAUCUCUGUUUUGUGUAAUCAGUCAACAGAUCUCUGGAUCACAUAAAUCAAAGCUGUUCCUUUACCCACAGCCCCUUUUGUCCAGGUCUGCCUGUGUUUGGGGCUGUGCAUAUCAUCCGCAUUGACUGACACAGGUAAUGGAGGUAGAUGGAUGUUGAUGGGGAGUUUGCUCUGUCAGAGGUUCCUGAAGGGCCUUUCACUGCUUUCAGCAAGGGACUUGCCUGUUGCAAUGCACUUAAAAAAUUCAGAUUGCACUACUGAGCUAAAAAUACCUGUGUACUCGUCAGAGGUGUCUGUCUUCUCUCUUGGUGCUGCUUGGACACUCUGGAUAGAGGGAAUAGUCGCCAGUUGCAAAAUUUGGGUUUCUUCCUUCCCCCUUCACUGCUCUUUAAUUGUAAUUACAGCAACUUUUUGUCCCUUUCAGAUCUGCUCACUUUGAGCGAAGGGUAAAAGAAUGAUUUGUUGGAGUAUUUUGUAUUUAUCAACUAGUUGCCAAGAGAAUAAAGUUUAGCACAGCAGAGCUUGCCCUUCACAAUAGCAAAUAAAACAUGCUGCUUGUACUCUGUUUCAACCCUAACUACGCUGUCAGGUGUAACAUUUCUUGUUUCUUCUGGUUGUGCCAGAAACCUAGUUAGCAUUCAGUCAUGCAGUCAUAGAAAAGUACCAAAUAUAUGCCAAAUAAAUUAAUGUAAUUUAAAUUUACUUUCUAACUGCAUAUGGGAAGCAAAAAAAUAUAAGAACAAAUGUAGUAUAGCCUCCAUUAGAACAGUGUUUCCCUAUGUUAGCUACAUGAAAUUGCUGCUUAUAAAGCUUUUUAAAGAUUAAUUUGUUUGUGAUUUGUAGUAGUUUGAUUUUUUGGAGGUUUUUUGGGGGUGGAAGGGUAACUGUGAGACAGAGGUAGGAUCUAUUAUCUCCCAGGUAAAAAGAUACAAGUUCACUGCAGUGUACUCUAAUAUUAGUGGUUCCUCUGAAUGCUUUUAACCUGUGAUAAAAUCACCUUCAAGGUAAGUCAAUUUGCAUUCUGCUUCUUUAGUCACUCAUACCAUGAAUAAAAUCAGUUUUAUACAAGGAAUUCAAAAGUCUAUCUAGUCAAUACUCCUAGGAUUUUGUUCCAUAAAAUAUGACUGGGGGAGAAAGACUAUAGUGUAUUUUCAAGCUUAUUCUGAGAAGGUAUUUUAUGUCAAAUAGCUGGAUGAAAUGGGUUUUCUUUGAGGAAAUACAGGCUUAUAUGAGGCUUUAUGGUAGCAUAAGUUAUAUGCACAGAAAAGAAGUGGGAUAUUUUGAAGCAUUAAAAAGUUUGAAUAAAAUAUAGAAAGAGGAAGACAGCAAUUAAGACAACUUAUUGAGAUUAAGAGAAGAUUAUUACUUCCUUUGAAUUACUUUGAACUAUGAGGGGAAAAAGAGGAAAAUCAGAAAAAAAAAAAAAAGUAGAAGUUUUGUGGCUUUACAUUUUAAUGAAUUUACAUUGUUUUUCUUCUGCACAGGCCAGGUAUUGUUUUCUUCCUUUGUUUUGUUUGGGAGGUCAGUUUUACAUGGUACAACUGAAGAACUGCUUUGUUACUUUAGAGCUGUGUGACUCUGUCUCCAUAAACAGUGUUGAUGGACUAAAACAUAAUGACCAAAAAAACUGUCUUUCCUGUCUUAUCCUGUUAAAUGAUAGGGUAGGGGAUCAUUUAAUUUAAUAUAUAUGUGAUAAUUAUAUAGCUGUAAAAUAUUGCUGCAGGCUUCUCUUUGUUUAUAUUGCAUAUUUAAUACUAAAAUUUUUUUUUAAUUAGAACUGCAUUUGUUAUCAUGAUCUAUUUUCCUGGCAUUCUUAACUAGGAAAAAUGGGCUGCUUACAGAAGAAAUGGACCAGUUUCAAAGACUUCAACUGACUUAGGGUAGACACCCCAAGCAAGAGUGUAAAUAAUAAAAAAGCAAUUUAUUAAUCAGAAGCCAUUACCUGCUGAAUACUUGACACCUUUUACAGAAGGUAUUCUUAAAUUCUGUUUCUUAGCUGAUGGGCAAUGAUGACAGACUUGAGUAUUGACCAUCGGCAGUGGGGAGUUUUCAUUUUAAUUCAAGGCCGUCCAAUCACAGCAAGGCCUUUUUUAGCUCUGGGAAAUUGCAUUAAUUUCCAGAUAAAUAAUAACCAGGUUUUAAAAUAAUUUUUUCCCUCCUAUGCCCCAACCUACUAUUCAGCUGAAAGCAAAAGUAUCAUAUCUCCUUUGAGAAAGAUUGAAUGGCAUCACAUUCAUCAGUUCACUUUAGAAAUAAUACUUACUACAUCAAUAAACAGGUAACAGGUUGUGGCCUCACCAUUACAAAUUACAUUUGAUGGAGAGUUGGUGAGCCAAAGACAUGUUUUAGCCUGGAAAGACUUGUGAUGGAAGGUGAGAUUCUUGGUAGUGACAUACGGGAGCAAGAGGAAUGCAUGUGUGCUUGGUUAUUCCCUCAGUGCCCCAGCAGAAGAUCAUGCAGGGAGCUGCUCAUGGUAGAUGGAAUGCACUGUCUUAGAGGGAGAGGUGAGUUUUUCCUGUGUAAAACACAGGAGAAUUAUCACAUAGUGCCAGGCUAACUUUCUGGAUGUGUUUUUUAAUAUUGUAAUUGUACAAUCCUCUCCCCCUUAAAAUACAUCUAAAUAAUUCAAUUUUUAUGUUAUAUUUAGCACUCUCCCCUUCUCUGAUCCAGGUAAUUGUCUUUCAUCCAAGUUAUGACAAACAUCUCAGGCAAGGUGCCUGAAGCAAACUCAACAGGCACAACAGUGUCCUUCUGAACUCUGAAUCCCCCAUUAGAUGCUGUACUAGGUGAAAGGUGCACUAUUCAACUUGGAUUUCAUAACAGCACUUGGACUCUACUCAGAAGCUACUGCUCUGUCAUAAUAUCCACUAGGUAGGGAGAUCCAGCUCUAGAAAUAGCAUCCUGUAUCCAGGUGGAGUUCCAGGAGUGAAUGGCUGCUGGGAGAAGAUAUAGGCUAAUUUUCUGCUAAUUUUCAAGGAUAUGAUCUGGAGGUCAAGGUGGAGUGUGCUUGACAAUGUGCCUUUGCAAGUGACUUUCACUAGUAUCAUCAAAAUCCAGGAGCUAAAAUCCACAGGAAUGGUCAUACAGUGCAAAUGCUGGAACAGCCAUCUUCCUGCAGCACUAGCCUAUGAAGAAUCUCUGCUGGUCAUUUGUCUCUCUGCAACAGUUGCCCAUAGCUGUGUACCUAGUUGCAGGAAUUGGUUCAGAUCAGCAGCAUCAGCCCAAGUAUAUAUGUUUUCCUGUGGAAAUGCAUUGCUGUGUUGCUGCCCAGCUUCACAAACUACUUCAGGAGACCCUUCAUCACUGUGGUAGCUGGACUUUGUGCUUUGUAGCUGUGCUGUGGAAAGGUAAGGUAGUGAAGCAAGGUAGUGGUCCAUUUCUGUAAAACAAGGGAAGGUUUAAAUCUAGCAAGUGGUUAAAAAGUACUAGGUACAUGUUUUAACUAGCUAAUUCCCAGAAAAUAUCUUGAUCCAUAUUAGAGCAUUGCCUCUCAAAGCUGAAGUGCUUAAGCAAUUGUAACUUGCUGCUGUUCUGUACACUUUAAUGGAUGGCAGAGGUGGAAGAGUCAUUAGUUUUACAUCCUGGUGUUACAGGCUUUUACAUAUUUACAUUUAUAUAUUUACCUUUAUAUAUAUUUAUAUAUUUACAUUUAUACUAUUUAUAUAAAUAACCAUCUGCAUUUAAAAAUUCUCAAGGUCUCAAAUAGCAAAACUUUGAUAAUUUCCAAAUUUAUAACACUGACAAUACAGCUAAGUUUGUUAGGUAGAGGUACUGGUCUGAAAAUGUAGGAUUCAAGAUGUUGCACAGAACUGCUAGCAGAUCGUUCCUUUAAUGGUGCUAAUUUAAAUUCUAACUCUAUAAUGUAGCACUAGAAGGGUUGUACAGAUAUUAAAAAAAUAAAAAGAUUUUAAAAAAAUAAUAUAUAUAUAUAGUCACUUAGCUAUGAAGGAAUUUGUUCUGGUUUUGACUGGGGUAGUUAAUUUCUGUCACAGUAGCUAUUAUGGGGAUGUGUUUCAGAUUUGCACAGAAAGCAGCACUGACAACACAGAGAUGUUCUAGUUACUGCUGGGCAGAACUCACAAUGCACCUAGAUCUUUCCUGCUUCUUGAAUCACCCCAUCAGCAAGUGUGCUGGGGGUAGAUAAGGAGCUGGGAGGGGAUACAGCUGGGACAGCUGAUCCCCAGUUUAUCACAGGGAUAUUCUAGGAUAUGUGGUAUCAUGUUCAGCAUAUAGAGAUGGGGGAAGAAGGAAGUGGGAGAACAUUCAGUGAUGGAGCUUGUCUUCCGAAGUCACCAUUAAGGCAUGAUGGAGUCCUGUCUUCCUGGAGAUGGCUGAACCCAAGCCUGUCCUACUGGAAAUGGGGAAUGAAUUCCUUGGUUUGCUUUGCAUCUGUGGCUUUUUCUUUAUUAAACUGUCUUUAUCUCAACUCUUGAGUCUUCUCACUUGACUCUUCUGACUCUCCUCCCACACCCACAGUGGGGCACUUAGGGAGAAGCGUCACACUCCUUCUUCGCUAGUAGAGGUUACACACAGUAACAGAUCUCCAAGCAGAUUAGCAAAAUGACAACUUUCAUGUUUCUUAUUGGUUUUAACCUGAACUUAGGCAAAUAUUAUGAACAGUAUUAUUAAUAAGGAGGGAAUUAAUUCUUAAGUCUGUCUGAAUUCUUCACCAAAAACAAAACUAAGCUCAAAAUUAAGCUGAAAUGCUCUAUUUAGAGAGGAGGUCUUAUUGUUUGUAUUAUGUAAGGUGUUGGAUCAAUGUUUAUGUUGCCCAUGUUAGCAGCUGCAUCCCUGAAGUGAA